rnacentral:misc_RNA from 1 species
GAUGAAGAACGUAGCGAAAUGCGAUAAGUAGUGUGAAUUGCAGAAUUCAGUGAAUCAUCGAAUCUUUGAACGCACAUUGCGCCCCCUGGUAUUCCGGGGGGCAUGCCUGUUCGAGCGUCAUUUCAACCCUCAAGCUCUGCUUGGUAUUGGGCGUCGCCGGGGAGUCUCCCCGGCGUGCCUCAAAGCCAUCGGCGGUGGUGCCUUUCUCUAAGCGUGGUAGAAUUUUUAUUCGCUUCUGAGUUGGGCUUCGCCUGCCGGACAAACCGGGCCCUCGCGGCCCACCUUCUCAGGUUGACCUCGGAUCAGGUAGGGAUACCCGCUGAACUUAAGCAUAUCAAUAAGCGGAGCA